rnacentral:lncRNA from 1 species
UGGGCUCAUGCAUGCUGUCUUCAGCUGUAUGUUAUCUCAAAUAAUUACCCUCGCUUCUGGCUGUCCCUGGCGACUUCUGCUGCUAAAAAAGCUACUCAUUGUCGGAGACUGAAGAGGGAUUUCCAGCCUGCUUCUUGUGGCCGGGCAACGGCUCUUAAUUAACCACUCAGGUAUUGUGGGAGCUCCCAGCCCGGCUCGCUUCCAUAUGGCGCGAACAUGUCCGCAGUGAUAAGCACGGGAGGAAAUACUGUAUCAAAAGGGAGCUCGCACAACCGAAAGCUUGUGCAAAUUAUUUUUAAUGAUUCUUCUCUGAAAUGCAGACUGCCCAAUGGGAUGGAGUUUCCAGUGUGAUGUCAUUGGAAACAUUGCUCCUCAGAGCAGUGAAAUUAGCCCGAUAGAAAAAGAACACAGAGCCUCACUUUCCAAUCAGCCCAGAACAAUGGUGCGUCCAACUGCAAAAUGAACCAGAACACAAAAAGAAAAAUAAACCCUCGUCGGUCACAAG